rnacentral:rRNA from 1 species
GUGAGGAAUAUUGCGCAAUGGAGGCAACUCUGACGCAGCCAUGCCGCGUGCAGGAAGAAGGCGCUACGCGUUGUAAACUGCUUUUAACCGGGAAGAAACCCCAGGACGUGUCCUGGGUUGACGGUACCGGAGGAAUAAGCACCGGCUAACUUCGUGCCAGCAGCCGCGGUAAUACGAAGGGUGCAAGCGUUAUCCGGAUUCAUUGGGUUUAAAGGGUGCGUAGGCGGAGCGUUAAGUCAGUGGUGAAAUCCUGCAGCUUAACUGUAGACUUGCCAUUGAUACUGGCGCUCUUGAGUGCGCUUGAAGUGGGCGGAAUGUGCCGUGUAGCGGUGAAAUGCUUAGAUAUGGCACAGAACACCAAUUGCGAAGGCAGCUCACUAAGGCGAUACUGACGCUGAGGCACGAAAGCGUGGGGAUCGAACAGGAUUAGAAACCAGUGUAGUCC